rnacentral:lncRNA from 10 species
UCUUACAUGUCCACCAAAAACAUACACAAAAAUGUUUAAAUAUUUAUAGCUGCUCUAUGGUAGUCCUAUAAAUAAAACAAAACUGGAAACAACUCAAACUCUGUCACCAAUUAAACACAUAAUUUGUGGAAUAUAUGCUCUAUGGAAUAGUAUAAGGCAUGUAAAAUGCUUGUUUUUAAGCUGCAGGCAUAUAUUGUUGUAUUGUUCUUGGCUGUAUUGUGCUUCACAGAUCUUGCAUUUUGUACAGACUGAAGGUUUGUGGCAAUCCCACUUUAAAAAAUUCUACCAGCACCUCUUUCCAACAGCAUGUGGUCACUUCAUAUCUAUGUACCACAUUUUGGUAAUUUUCUCAAUAUUUCAAACUUUUUCAUUGUUGUUAUUACAUCUGUGAUGAUGAUUUGUGAUCAGUGAUUUUUAAUGUUACAUUGUAAUUGUUUUGGGGUAUCAAGAACCAUGCCCAUAUAAGAAGGUGAAUGAUCAUCCCCCAUUUCACUCCUUUCCUCAAGCCUCUCUAUUUCCUCGAAACAAAAAAUAUUAAAAAGAGGACAACCAACCACCCUGCAAUGGCCUCUAAGUAUACAGAUGAAAGACUCAUAUGUCUCUGGUGUUAAAUCAAAAGCCAGAAAUCAUAAGCGAGAAAGGAACAUCAAAAGCUGAGAUAGGCUAUAACUAGGCCUCUUGCAUCAAACAGGCAAGUUGUGAAUGCAAACGAAAAGCUCUAGAAGGAAAUUAAAAGUGCCAUUCCAGUGAAUGCACAAAUAAUAAGAAAGCAAAACACUCUUAUAUUGCUGAUAUGUAGAAAGUUUUAGUGGCCUGGAUAGAAGAUCAAAGCAGCCACAACAUUUCUUUAAGCCAAAAGCCUAAUCAGAGCAAGGUCUUAACUCUCUUCAGUUCUAUGAAGGCUGAGAGAGAUGAGGCAACUGUAGAUGAAAAGUUGGAGUUUAGCAAGGUUGGUUUGUGAUGCUUAAGGAAAGAAUCCUUCACUCUAACGCAAAAGCACAAGGUGAAGCAGCAAGUGCUGAUGUAGAAGCUGCAGCCCGUUAUCUAGAUCUACCUAAAAGGUAAUUGAUGAAGUUGGAUGAACUACACAAUAGAUUUUCUGUAUAGAUGAAACAGCCUUAUAUUGGAAGAAGAUUUCAUCUAGAACUUUCAUAGCUGUAGAGGAGAAGUCAAUGCCUGGCUUCAUAGGAAAGGCUGACUCCUUGUUAGGAAUGAAUGCAGCUGGUAACUUUAAGUUGAAGCCAAUGCUCAUUUAUAAUUCUGAAAAUCCUACAUCUGCUCUACCUGUGCUUUACAAAUUUAAUAACAAAGCCUGGGUGACAGCACAUCUGUUUAUAGCAUGGUUUACUGAAUAUUUUAAGCCCACUGUUGUGAUGUACUGCUCAGAAAAAAUGAUUCCUUCCAAAAUAUCACCGCUCAUUGACAUUACACCUGGUCAUCCAAGAGUCUUGAUGGAGAUGCAAGUUUAACGUUGUUUCCAUGCCCGCUAACACAGUGUCCAUUCUGCACCACGGAUCAAGGAGUCAUUUCAACUUUUAAGUAAUAUUAUUUAAGAAAUACUUUUUAUUAGGCUAUAGAUUUCAUAGAUAGUGAUUUCUCUGAUGGAUCUGGGAAAAGGAAAUUGAAAACCUUCUGGAAAGGUUUCACCAUUCCAAGUGCCUUUAAAACAUUCAUGAUUCGUGGGAAGAGGUCAAAAUAUCAAUAACAAGAGUUUAGAAGAAGUUGAUUCCAGUCCUUAUGGACGUCUUUGAGGAGUCCAAGGCAACAGUAUAGAAGAUCUCUGCAGAUGUGAAAACAGCAAAAGAGCUAGACUCUGAAGUGGAACCAGAAGAUUUGACUGAAUUGCUGCAAUGUCAUGAUAAAACUUGAAUGGAUGAAGAGCUACUUCUUAAGGAUGAGCAAAGAAAGUGGUUUCUUGAAAUGGAAUCUAUUCCUAAGACACUGUGAACAUUCUUGAAAUGACAAUAAAGGAUUUAGAUUAUAUCAGCUUUGUUUGGCAAAACAGUGGUAGGUUUUGAGACAAGAGACCUCAAUUUUGAAAGAAGUUCUAUCAAGUAAAAUGCUAUCAAACAGCAUCACAUGCUGUAGAUAAAUCUUUCAGGAAAGGGAGAGUCAAUUGAUGUGGUAAGCUUCUUUCCUGUCUUAUUUUAAGAAAUGGCACAGCCACUCCAACCUUCAUCAACUACCAUCCUGAUCAGUUAGCAGCCAUCAGCAUCAAGACAAGACCCUCCACAUGCAAAAAAAUUAAGACUACCUGAAGGCUCAGAUGAUCAUUUGCAUUUUUCAGCAAUAAAGUAUUUUUAAAUUAAGAUAUGUGCAUUGCUUUUAUGACAUAAUGCUGUUGCCUGCUUAUAGACUACAGUAUCUUGUAAAUAUAACUUUUAUAUGCACUGAGAAACCAGAAAAUGUAUGUGAAUCACCUUAUUUUGGCAUUUGUUUUAUUGCAGUGGUCUAGAAUAUCUUCAAGGUGUCCUUGUACCUGCAACAAUAAGGAUGGAUCUUAGAAACAUGGGUUAAGGAAGACAACAAGAAAAUUGCAGAAGAAUUCAUUCAGAAUGUGCCUUUGAAGCCCUAAGCUGCCAUAUAUAUGGCUACUGUGAACACGCUGGCUACUGUGCUACAAAGAUCACACGGAGAGAACAGAUACAGAGAAACAGAGAGAGAUUCCUGGGGAACCCUAGCUGCUUCAGUUCCUAGCUUUUGAGGCAUCCCAAACCAGAGGCCAGAUGCGUGAAUGAAUGAGCUCUUGGAUGAUGGCAGCUGCAACCUUUUAGUCUUCUAGCUGAGGCCCCACACACUGUAAAACAGAGAGAAAAAAAAACCCAGUGUCUUGUCUGAAUUUCUGAAACACGAAAUUUAUGAGCAUAAUAAAUGGUUG